rnacentral:rRNA from 1 species
CUGGAGUACUCGAGUGGCGAACGGGUGAGUAACACGUGGGUAAUCUGCCCUGCACUUUGGGAUAAGCCUGGGAAACUGGGUCUAAUACUGGAUAUGACCUUUCUCCUUAUGGGGUUUGGUGGAAAGUUUUUCGGUGUAGGAUGAGCCCGCGGCCUAUCAGCUUGUUGGUGGGGUGAUGGCCUACCAAGGCGACGACGGGUAGCCGGCCUGAGAGGGUGAUCGGCCACAUUGGGACUGAGAUACGGCCCAG